rnacentral:rRNA from 1 species
CCUACGGGAGGCAGCAGUGGGGAAUCUUGCACAAUGGGCGAAAGCCUGAUGCAGCGACGCCGCGUGGGGAUGAAGCAUUUCGGUGUGUAAACCCCUUUCGACCGGGAAGCGGUACCGGUAUAAGAAGCCCCGGCUAACUACGUGCCAGCAGCCGCGGUAAUACGUAGGGGGCCAGCGUUGUUCGGAAUUACUGGGCGUAAAGGGUUCGUAGGCGGUGCGGCAAGUUGGGAGUGAAAUCUCUGGGCUUAACCCAGAGACUGCUUUCAAAACUGCUGUGCUAGAGUAUGAGAGAGGCUCGUGGAAUUGCAGGUGUAGCGGUGAAAUGCGUAGAUAUCUGCAGGAACACCCGUGGCGAAAGCGGCGAGCUGGAUAUACUGACGCUGAGGAACGAAAGCUAGGGGAGCAAACAGGAUUAGAUACCCUUGUAGUC